AGUCGUACGGGUAACCAGUGCUUGCCUUGGGGAGCAAUGGGGAGAGGGUGAGUAACACGUGAGCAACCUGCCCCUGACUCUGGGAUAAGCGCUGGAAACUGCUUCUAAUACUGGAUAUGUACCAUGAACGCAUCUUCUGUGGUUGGAAAGAUUUUUCGGAUGGGGAUGGGCUCUCGGCCUAUGAUCUUGAUGGUGAGGUAAUGGCUCACCACGGCGUCGACGGGUAGCCGGCCUGAGAGGGUGACCGGCCACACUGGGACUGAGACACGGCCCUACUCCUACGGGAGGCAGGAAGGGGAAUAUUGCACAAUGGGCGGAAGCCUGAUGCCCCAACGCCGCAUGACGGAUGACGGCCUUCGGGUUGUAAACCUCUUUUAACAAGGAAGAAGCGAGAGUGACGGUACCUGCACAAAAAGCGCCUGCUAACUACGUGCCAGCAUCCGCCGUAAUACGUAGGGCGCAAGCGUUAUCCUGAAUUAUUGGGAGUAAAGAGCUCGUAGGCGGUUUGUCGCGUCUGCUGUGAAAUCCCGAGGCUCAACCUCGGGCCUGCACUGGGUACGGGCAGACUAGAGUGCGAUAUGGGAGAUUGGAAUUCCUGGUGUAGCGGUGGAAUGCUCAGAUAUCACGACGAACACCGAUGGCGAUCGCUGAUCUCUGAUUCGUAACUGACGCUGAGGAGCGAAAGGGUGGGGAGCAAACAGGCUUAUAUACCCUGGUAGUCCACCCCGUAAACGUUGGGAACUAGUUGUGAGGUCCAUUCCACGGAUUCCGUGACGCAGCUUACGCAUUAAGUCCCCGCAUGGGGAGUACGGCCGCAAGGCUAAAACUCAAAGGAAUUGACGGGACCGCACAGCGGCGAGCAUGCGGAUUAAUUAGAUGCACGCGAAGAACCUUACCAAGGCUUCACAUAUACGAGACGGGCAGAAUGGUCAACUCUUGGACACUAGUAAACAGGUGGCUGCAUGGUGUCGUCACUCGAGUCGUGAGAUGAUGGGUUAAGUCCAGCAACGAGCGCACCCUCGUUGUAAGUGCUAGCACGAUAUGGUGGGAACUCAUGGGAUACUGCCGGGGUCAACUCGGAGGAAGGGGGGGAUGACGUCAAAUCAUCAUGCCCCUUAUGUCUUGGGCUUCACGCAUGCUACAAUGGCCGGUACAAAGGGCUGCAAUACCGUGAGGUGGAGAGAAUCCCAAAAAGCCGGUCCCAGUUGGGAUUGAUGUCUGCAUCUCGCCCUCAAGAAGUGGGAGUCGAUAGUAAUCGCAGAUCAGCAACGGUGCGGUGAAUACGUUCCCGCGUCUACACACCCC
rnacentral:rRNA from 1 species